rfam:Enterococcus columbae DSM 7374 = ATCC 51263 genomic scaffold acyDG-supercont2.6, whole genome shotgun sequence.
GGAAGUCUGUGAUGUGCGCAUUCUCCCUUUAGUGUGUUGACCGAACAUUGUUAUUGAUAUUUUGGGAUCCGUCCGGUUUCUUAGCUGGUAACAAGCCUUUUCCUUUGGUAGUUCAAAGCUAUGAACGUGGAGCCCACCUGCUAGUUUGCGGGAUCAAUACCUCGGGAUAAUAAACGGCAUCAACGGAUGAACC